AGUAAUGUAUGGAGAUCUGCCUGAUGGCGGGGGAUAACUACUGGAAACGGUAGCUAAUACCGCAUAACGUCGCAAGACCAAAGAGGGGGACCUUCGGGCCUCUUGCCAUCGAUGUGCCCAGAUGGGAUUAGCUAGUAGGUGGGUAACGGCUCACCUAGGCGACGAUCCCUAGCUGGUCUGAGAGGAUGACCAGCCACACUGGAACUGAGACACGGUCCAG
rnacentral:rRNA from 1 species